rnacentral:misc_RNA from 1 species
CUGUGAUUGAAAGUUUUAAUAAGGUUUAAAGGCAAAAAAGUCCAUAUAGAAGAAAUUCAAAGUGAUUUUGAAGCUUAAAGAGUAGUGUGAAAAGUGAAGAAAGUGAAAAGUGAAGAAAAUUUGCUUAAAGGAGAAGACCAGCCGAGACUUUCAAGGGCCUCAAUAUGCCCGUGCUGAAGGUCGUGUGAAGAUAAAAGUUGCCCAACAGAAAUCAACAUGAGGCAUGUAAAUUUACACUGGGUCGUGUAAAUAGAGACUUCGGAAAAAAACACGCCGGAGUUUCAUGGGCCUCCACAUGCCUCGUGUGGCGGGUCGUGUAAGCAGAGAUUUUGGAGAAAAUACGCCGAGACUUUCAGGG